rnacentral:rRNA from 1 species
CGGGUGAGUAACACGUGGAUAACCUACCUAUAAGACUGGGAUAACUUCGGUAAACCGGAGCUAAUACCAGAUAACAUGUUGAACCGCAUGGUUCAACAGUGAAAGACGGUCUUGCUGUCACUUAUAGAUGGAUCCGCGCCGCAUUAGCUAGUUGGUAAGGUAACGGCUUACCAAGGCAACGAUGCGUAGCCGACCUGAGAGGGUGAUCGGCCACACUGGAACUGAGACACGGUCCAG